UACGGAGGGUGCAAGCGUUAUUCGGAUUCACUGGGCUUAAAGGGUGCGUAGGCGGAUAGGUAAGUCCGUGGUGAAAUCCUGCAGCUUAACUGCAGAACUGCCGUGGAUACUAUCUAUCUUGAAUGUCGUGGAGGUUAGCGGAAUAUGUCAUGUAGCGGUGAAAUGCUUAGAUAUGACAUAGAACACCCAUUGCGAAGGCAGCUAACUACGCGAUAAUUGACGCUGAUGCACGAAAGCGUGGGGAUCAAACAGG
rnacentral:rRNA from 1 species